rnacentral:tRNA from 1 species
UGCAUGGGGAAUAGUCGGGAUAGCUCAGCUGGUAGAGCAGAGGACUGAAA